rnacentral:rRNA from 1 species
GACGAACGCUGGCGGCGUGCUUAACACAUGCAAGUCGAACGGAAAGGCCCUGCUUUUGUGGGGUGCUCGAGUGGCGAACGGGUGAGUAACACGUGAGUAACCUGCCCUUGACUUUGGGAUAACUUCAGGAAACUGGGGAUAAUACAGGAUAGGAGCUCCUGCUGCAUGGUGGGGGUGGGAAAGUUUCGGCGGUUGGGGAUGGACUCGCGGCUUAUCAGCUUGUUUGUGGGGUAGUGGCUUACCAAGGCUGUGAAGGGUAGCCGGCCUGAGAGGGUGACCGGCCACAUCGGGCCUGAGCUACGACCCAGACUCCUACGGGACGCAGCAGUGGGGAAUAUUGCACAAUGGGCGGAAGCCUGAUGCAGCAACGCCGCGUGCGGGAUGACGGCCUUCGGGUUGUAAACCGCUUUCGCCUGUGACGAAGCGUGAGUGACGGUAAUGGGUAAAGAAGCACCGGCUAACUACGUG